rnacentral:rRNA from 1 species
UACGUAGGGGGCGAGCGUUGUCCGAAUUUACUGGGCGUAAAGCGUGCGCAGGCGGUGAUGUAAGACAGGUGUGAAAUCCCCGGGCUUAACCUGGGAACUGCAUUUGUGACUGCAUCGCUGGAGUGCGGCAGAGGGGGAUGGAAUUCCGCGUGUAGCAGUGAAAUGCGUAGAUAUGCGGAGGAACACCGAUGGCGAAGGCAAUCCCCUGGGCCUGCACUGACGCUCAUGCACGAAAGCGUGGGGAGCAAACAGG